ACGAAAGUCUGACGGAGCAACGCCGCGUGAGUGAAGAAGGUUUUCGGAUCGUAAAGCUCUGUCUUUGAGGACGAAUGUGCUUAAUGUGAAUAAUGUUAAGUAAUGACGGUACUCGAGGAGGAAGCCACGGCUAACUACGUGCCAGCAGCCGCGGUAAUACGUAGGUGGCAAGCGUUGUCCGGAAUUAUUGGGCGUAAAGCGCGCGCAGGCGGGAUAUUAAGUCUGUUUUAAAAGUUCGGGGCUCAACCCCGUGAUGGAAUGGAAACUAAUAUUCUUGAGUGCAGGAGAGGAAAGUGGAAUUCCCAGUGUAGCGGUGAAAUGCGUAGAUAUUGGGAGGAACACCAGUGGCGAAGGCGACUUUCUGGACUGUGUCUGACGCUGAGGCGCGAAAGCCAGGGGAGUGAACGGGAUUAGAUACCCCGGUAAUCCUGGCCGUAAACGAUGGGUACUAGGUGUAGGAGGUAUCGACCCCUUCUGUGCCGGAGUUAACGCAAUAAGUACCCCGCCUGGGGAGU
rnacentral:rRNA from 1 species